rnacentral:rRNA from 1 species
UUCCUACGGGGGGCAGCAGUGGGGGAUAUUGCACAAUGGGGGAAACCCUGAUGCAGCGACGCCGCGUGGGCGAAGAAGUAUUUCGGUAUGUAAAGCCCUAUCAGCAGGGAAGAAGAAAUGACGGUACCUGAGUAAGAAGCACCGGCUAAAUACGUGCCAGCAGCCGCGGUAAUACGUAUGGGGCGAGCGUUAUCCGGAUUUACUGGGUGUAAAGGGAGCGUAGACGGUUCUGCAAGUCUGAAGUGAAAGCCCGUGGCUUAACCGCGGAACGGCUUUGGAAACUGUGGAACUGGAGUGCUGGAGAG